rnacentral:lncRNA from 1 species
GUCUAAGUUUCCACCUGGAUUUUUCUUCUCUUUUUGACGAUGGAUUUGAGUUUGCUUCAGGAUUCGCAAUCGAUGAUGAUGCCAUUAUCAAUCAGAAUGAAAGAAUUUCACUUUUUGGCUCCAAAAUCUACCCAUUGGGUCUCAAAGAAUAGAUAAUUAUACCCACUUUACGACUCGAAGAAAUAUGAACCAAAUUUGAGCCCGAGACCUGACCAUUCUUGAAAGAGAUCUGAGUUCGAUGGGUGAGAGAAAUGGGAUUGAAUCUAAAGGAAAUGGUGAUAAAAUGA